rnacentral:rRNA from 1 species
CAGCAGCCGCGGGAAUACGGAGGGUGCAAGCGUUAAUCGGAAUUACUGGGCGUAAAGCGCACGCAGGCGGUCUGUCAAGUCGGAUGUGAAAUCCCCGGGCUCAACCUGGGAACUGCAUUUGAAACUGGCAGGCUAGAAUCUUGUAGAGGGGGGUAGAAUUCCAGGUGUAGCGGUGAAAUGCGUAGAGAUCUGGAGGAAUACCGGUGGCGAAGGCGGCCCCCUGGACAAAGACUGACGCUCAGGUGCGAAAGCGUGGGGAGCAAACAGGAUUAGAUACCCCUGUAGUCCCUGUCUCUUAUAC